GAUGUUACCUCGUCACUGUGACUGUUUAUUUCCAGUUUCACUUGUUGCACGCGGGCGAUACGAUUGUGUUUGUAACACAACCGUGAUCUGAGCGACUUCCGGUCUUCGGAGCCCUCACUUCCGGCUCUGCUUGGAAACAGUUGAUCAACGCUGCGUUUGACGCAGCGUCAACUUUUCGACGAUUCCAGGUUUUUGACAGCCAACCUCGUAGAAGGAAAAUGGUAUCGUGUUGCGCGGUGAAGUGCAGCAGUUCGAGUCAAAAAGGGCACAAGAUGUUUCGCGUGCCCUGGGACCCCGAGCGUCGCAAGCAGUGGGCUGUCGCCAUACGCCGCCAGACUGAAGAGGGAAAGCUCUUCAUGCCUACUGACCACAGUAGGCUGUGCUCUGACCACUUUGUGAAGGGUGCGUGUUCGACACCCUUUGUCGCGCGAAAAAAAAAUUAUUCAUCUUCAUGCAGGAGCGCCGAGCUAUGACCCUGAUGACAUCGACUACGUGCCGACGUUAUUCUUCCACGACGAGGCGAGCACGGAACGAUCACGCCGCAUUAAAAACAGCCAUGCACGUUAUGUGGGAUGUCACUGCAAAGCGAAGCCCUUGUGUACAGACUUCGCAGCCAUCACAAGAGCCUGCCAAAGAGAGUUCAGAGGACAUAGUGCAACUUUCAACACCAUUCUCAAGGUCACUGUCGAGUUCACGAUGGCUACGCAACACAAAGUGCUGCGUCCGCAGCUGCACCAACCACACUGGAAUGAUACAAGAUGGUGUGCUCUCAUUUCACAGGUUACCGAGGAACCGUAAGAUGAAGGUAAAGUGGAUGAAGGUCAUAGGUCGCAAACAGUGGCCAUCAAAGUGGUGGACAGCCAUCUGCUCGGACCACUUUGUAUCUGGAGACUUCAACAGCGGGUGUUUGGGUCAAGGGAUGCUGAAGCUGAAGGCCAUUCCUUCCGUCCACCUGGACAAAAGCGUUUUCAAGGUUGGCAAAGCUAGCCGCGUUGCCCGGAAACAACUCUCCCGUGGCGCUUGUACCAUGACCACCGAAACAGCUGGUGCAACCGGGAGAGAAACAGACACACUCGAGUCAUCCUCAGUCUUAAAAACAAACCAUUUCGUCGUCGUCACGCUGAACCCUUCGAUGAGUCCAGCCGCCGCGCUUUCGACAGAUGGCGGAACGAGCGGCGAUGGCUCUGCUCCUGACGAGGCCGUGCCCGCCGUGUCACCAACGACGUCUGGUGAGCAGCCCGAGAAGCUGGCGAUGACAGAGUCAUCUUCGAAAAACGAAAGCACGAAUAUCCUUGAAGUCGUGGGUGUUGCAGAAGAAGGCGUAGAGCAACCGAAAGUGGCAGGGGAUCAACAACACUCUUCUAAAGAGCUGGAGGUGAAUGCUCCGCAAGAGCCUGAGCAACAGGCAGGAGUUACGGAAGAAACGGCAGCCGCGACAGAGGCACGUCCAGUUGACAGAGAGCGCGUGACAGAUUCGUCAACGCCGUCCACUACCCCCGAGAAAGUGACAGCUACGACGACGGCGGCCAAAGGCUCACAACCUGUGACAGCUCCAACCACUCCAGCUAAUUCGCAGCAGCGUAUGACGACACGAGCUAACAAGAAGACGCCAGACUCGCAGCAUCAGGAGCUUGCGAGCAGAACAUCCGAUGGCGGCACCAAGUCCGUCAGCCAGCCUGGCGAAAGUGCUUGCGAUGUCUGCCAACGCACUUUCGAGCGGGAAGACUUGACCAAGAUCUUCGUAGAAAUUCGAAAGCGGCCUGACGAAAACUCUCCUAGUGCUCAACUCUGCCCGUUUAGGCUCUGCCCGGAGUGCAAGGAACCCCUUCUACAAGCUCCGACAACCGACGCGUCAGGUUCCAGUAACGUUCAGCGUGACGACAUUGUUGCGAAACUGCACGAGCGUGCCCUCAACACGCAGCCAGCAGCACAGAUGUGCGAAGAGGUUGAAGCGGAGGACAGCACUACGCAGCCACCAGAGCCUCCAAAGUCGAAACGCGUGCGGAUCGAGCUGGCACGUGUGAAGCCCAGAAAGAAGGCUGUCACCGUGAUGAAGUGCUGCGUUCCUUCUUGCACCAACCGCUCCGACAAAGCCACAGACAAGGCACUGUCAUUCCACAGGUUUCCGAGGAGCACAGCUCUCAAGAAGCAGUGGGCGGAGGCCAUCGGUCGUACAGACUGGUUGCCAGUGUCAACAACUGUGAUCUGCUCCGACCACUUCCGACGCGAUGACUACACUGAUUCCGGAAACCUAGUGGCUGGCGCCGUUCCGUGCAUCUUUACGGCCGACAUUGCCACUGAGAAGGCAUCCGGUGAUGCGGCGCCACUAGGAGUGGAGUCUGUCCUCUACAGCAACAAAGGCAAGGCAGUGGUGUCUUUGCUUCAGAGGAAGACACCCACCAAAGGCCAGGGCUCCGCCGAAACAGGCACCACAUCCAACAACAGCAGAGGCACCACAACAAAGCGAGCUCUGGCCAAGGGACCUUCACCUUCACAGGUUGAGAAGAAGAAGAAGAAGAAGCUCACAGUCAUGGACAUCAUGGAAGUGGACAGUUCCAGCUACUGGCUGAAGACAUUGAGCAACAGGUCGGUGAACUUUGUCCACAUUGUGCACCGACCCAUGCCGUGCAUCAGCCGGUCGGUGACAGUCUCCCCCGACAUGUUGGUGAUGGUGGCCAUUGAGAACGCACGCCUGAGCCUGCUGCCGUGCGGUACGCCGGUCCCCAGCACCAUCGACAGCAUUGAGACGUUGCAGGACCUCCUGGACAGGGUAGAGAUGCUGGACGACGCCGAGCGAAUCGACAACUGGCAGCUGCGCCGGCAGAGCACGUUGAGACUCGUCGCCUUGUUGCUACAGGAAGUGUGCCACAAUGUGGGCAAUGCGGACAGUCAGUACGGUGUGCUCACCUCUGUCAGAGACCAAGUCAGAGAUCUGUUGUGAGAGGGUCUGGCAACUGUGGGGUACCCCCUGGGUAAAUUUGUAAAUUACUCUUGUUUCACCUUCACUUACCAUCUCAUAUACACGUCUGGGAAACUUAUAAUGUUCGCUGCAGUCUAACGUCAUGCUCCAGAGUUAUUGUCUGGACUGUGACAAUGUUUAGUUGCUCGAUGCCACCACAACUGCUCAAGAGGAAAGCAGUGAUCUUGUAAAUUGUCAUCAGAAUGUGCUCGUCAAACAAAAAUUCUGA
rnacentral:misc_RNA from 1 species